rnacentral:rRNA from 1 species
UUUCCGGUUGAUCCCGCCGGACCUGACUGCUAUCGGAUUGAUACUAAGCCAUGCGAGUCUUUGUAGUAAUACAAGGCAUACGGCUCAGUAACGCGUAGUCAACCUACCCUAUGGACAAGAAUAAUCUCGGGAAACUGAGCAUAAUUCUUGAUAGAUCAUAAUGCCUGGAAUGGUUUAUGGUUAAAAUGAUUCGUCGCCAUAGGAUGGGACUGCGGCCUAUCAGCUUGUUGGUGAGGUAAUAGCCCACCAAGGCGAUAACAGGUACGGGCUCUGAGAGGAGAAGCCCGGAGAUGGGUACUGAGACAAGGACCCAGGCCCUAUGGGGCGCAGCAGGCGAGAAAACUUUGCAAUGAGCGAAAGCACGACAAGGUUAGUCCGAGUGAUUUCUGCUAAAGAGAUCUUUUGCUAGUUAUAAAACCACUAGUGAAUAAGGGGUGGGCAAGUUCUGGUGUCAGCCGCCGCGGUAAAACCAGCACCUCAAGUGGUCAGGAUGAUUAUUGGGCCUAAAGCAUCCGUAGCCGGCUCUGUAGGUUUUCGGUUAAAUCUAUGCGCUCAACGUAUGGGCUGCCGAAAAUACUGCAGAGAUAGGGAGUGGGAGA